UGACGGUACCUGCAGAAAAAGCACCGGCUAACUACGUGCCAGCAGCCGCGGUAAUACGUAGGGUGCAAGCGUAUCCGGAAUUAUUGGGCGUAAAGAGCUCGUAGGCGGUUUGUCGCGUCUGCUGUGAAAUCCCGAGGCUCAACUUCGGGCUUGCAGUGGGUACGGGCAGACUAGAGUGCGGUAGAGGAGAUUGGAAUUCCUGGUGUAGCGGUGGAAUGCGCAGAUAUCAGGAGGAACACCGAUGGCGAAGGCAGAUCUCUGGGCCGCUACUGACCCUGAGGAGCGAAAGCAUGGGGAGCGAACAGGAUUAGAUACCCUGGUAGUCCACGCCGUAAACGAUGGAUACUGUCUGUUGGUUCGUAAGGAUCAGUGGAUAAGCGAAAGUGAUAAGUAUCCCACCUGGGGAGUACGUUCGCAAGAAUGAAACUCAAAGGAAUUGACGGGGGCCCGCACAAGCGGUGGAGCAUGUGGUUUAAUUCGAUGAUACGCGAGGAACCUUACCAAGGCUUAAAUGUAUAAUGACAGGGGUGGAAACACCUUUUUCUUCGGACAGUAUGCAAGGUGCUGCAUGGCUGUCGUCAGCUCGUGCCGUGAGGUGUCAGGUUAAGUCCUAUAACGAGCGCAACCCUUAUCGCUAGUUGCCAGCGUUUCAAGACGGGGACUCUAGCGAGACUGCCAACGCAAGUUGCGAGGAAGGUGGGGACGACGUCAAGUCAUCACGGCCCUUACGUCUUGGGCGACACACGUGCUACAAUGGCCGGUACAGAGGGCAGCUACCACGCGAGUGGAUGCGAAUCUCGAAAACCGGUCUCAGUUCGGAUUGGAGUCUGCAACUCGACUCUAUGAAGCUGGAAUCGCUAGUAAUCGCAUAUCAGCCAUGAUGCGGUGAAUACGUUCCCGGGCCUUGUACACACCGCCCGUCAAGCCAUGGAAGCCGGGGGUACCUGAAGUCGGUGACCGUCAAAGGAGCUGCCUAGGGUAAAACUGGUAACUAGGGCUAAGUCGUAACAAGGUAGCCGUAGUCGUAACAAGGUAGCCGUAAGCUAGUCGUAUACAUCACGCGUCC
rnacentral:rRNA from 1 species